rnacentral:lncRNA from 1 species
GUUGAGAGGAGCGCACCGGAGAAAGAACACACGAGCUGCGGGACAGUGAGAGGAACACACUGGUAGAAGAGCACACAGGCAGCUGGAUGUCGAGAGGAGCGGAAGAGCACAGCGACAGGCACUGGUGUCGACCAGCGGAACGACGUGGAGUUUGGCCUGGGAGGUCAGAGAAGAAUUUGGCUGCUGGGCAGCCCCACUAUAGGGGAAAACCACCUUCCCACUCCAUUCCCCUUCUGAUCUCCCCAUCCACCUCGCUGAGAGCUACCACAACUCAAUAAAAAACCUAGCACUCGAUCUCCAAGCCCACAUGUGAUCCAAUUUUUCCCGUGCACUAAAGCAAGAACCUGGGAUACAGAAAGCCGUCUGUCCUUGUGAUAAGGCAGAGGGUCUAAUUGAGCUGAUUAACACAAGCCACCUGCGGACAGCUAAGCUGAAAAAGCAUCCUGUAACACACGCCCACUGGGGCCUCAGGAGGUGUAAACAUUCACCCCGAGAGGCUGCAUGGGUCCGCGCCCAUGGUCCCCAUGACUUGCCUGUUUGCCUGCUCUGGCUAAGGGUCUUGACCAGUGGGGCACUGAAGAAGCGAGCCACACCUCCAUCGUACGCCCUGCGAGGAGGGGUCUCACUCAGUGACCCAGGCUGAAUGCAGUGGAACAAUCAUGGCUUACUGUAGCCUUGACCUUGAGGGCUUAAGCAAUCCUGCCACCUCAGCCUGCCUAGUACUGGGACUACAGGUACGCGCCACCACGCCCAGAAAUUGCCACAGUCACCUCAACCUUCAGCAACCACCAACUUGAUCAAUCAGCAGCCAAUAACGUGAAGUCAUGACCAUUCACCAGCAAAAAGUUUAUGAUUCACCAAAAUAUUAGAUGAUCAUUAACAUUUUUAGCAAUAAUGUAUUUGUCAUUAAGGUGUUAGUGCAUUGGAAAAUCAUUUAAAGAAUGUAUCAGCUAAUUGAAGGCUUAUGUAAGCUGAAGUUCCUGUAUCUGCCUACGAUCCAGACCCACCAAGGAGGACGACAGUGUUUUUCUUUUCUUCCCCUCCACGUUAUCUCAUUAUCUGUAGCAGAAAAGAAGACCAAGAUGUGGCUACACCCGAGCAGACCUUUUUCCAUGUAUAAAGACUGUCUCAAAGGAUCAUUUAAAUUUCACGAACUAUUUACAAGUUAAUAGUUUGAUUGUUCCUGGACCCAAUUAUUCUCCCUAUCAAUCAUUUAAAAUCAAUUUUAACAUUGUGGUAGUAGAAUUUUUUCCUUUAACUGAUAUUAUAUUAAAACAUUCCACAAUUGAACACGUAUUAACUCUUAAGUAUGUAUAGCCUCCCGUGACCAUUUGUGUAUGAAAUCCAUUCAAAC